AUUUUACUUGUGCGCCGUUCGCUUGUUGACUGCUGCUGCCUGCAGAUAUAUCCAGAGUAUAUUGAACAUAAGUUUUAUUUUCUUUUCCACCACAGAGAGAGCGCGCGCGCGGCUUUUGCUGUUUAUUCUGCUUUUAAUUAAUGCAAAAUGUAUACAAAAUAGCCGCGAAUAGGCGCAGCGCCCUGCCACAGCAACAGCAACAUCAACAUGUGAGUGAGGUCGCAAGGUGUGCGUGUGAGUGAGAAGGAGGAUGGAACGAGGAGAAUCCUCAACAAAAAAGAAGCACCAAAAAGAGCCAAAGCUGAGGAGAACUACUCUGAUAACUCACCUGCAACGAGAGAGAGAGAGAGAAAGGAAGACAUAGAGUGAGACGGAAUGAUGAUUAGCAGCAAAUGCAGCGUAAAUGCAAUUCGAAUGAUAAAUCAACGAUCUAAAAAUACAGCCAGCAACAACAAAAACAGCGUCAGCGGCCAAAUAAGGCAAACAAUUGCAAAUAUCUGCAUGUGGAUGGCUGCCUGCCCCCGAUGCCCGCAGUCGACUCUGAUGUCGCAGUAGACGACGACGACGCACAGCAAAGCUAAAAAUAAUUCACGCUGUUCGCUUAGAAAAUCCAAAAUUAGCCGCGGCUGAGUUGCACAGUGGUCGGAGUUCACAUCAAAAGCAGAGACAAAUCCAACCAGAGUCGAGAGCAUUGCAAAACAGAUAAAGGAUUUUCCUUUUUUCGCGCACCCACUGUAGCUGGCGUCACCGUUGAGCGUGGACAGAGCCGUAAGCAGCGACGCCAACGUCAACGCCGAUGCCGAGCGACAGCAGGUUGGCAGAAAGUCUGCCACUGAUAACGGGAAAUGGCAUGCCAUGCCAGCAACAGCAGCCACAAUAAGGAGAGCCUCACCUCACUCUCGUGCCGGCCGUGUGUGUCUUUCUUCAAGCUCUCUCACGCCAAAAUAAACAAAACAAAUGUAAAGUGCGCCUCCGCCUCCGCCUCGCCCUCUGGAAAUGCUUGGUACAGCCACCAGACCGCCCAGCCACCCCACCACACACCCCCCCUCGACCCACAACCUAGGGCAAGCCAUGAAAAUAAAUAUAUGUGGGCACAACAAAAAUGAAAAUUGUACGCGAAAUGUGCCGCAAAUGGCAGCAGAUUUGCCAUUAAAAUUUACAAAGGUUCUCGCUCUCAUCGUUAAGGCAGAGAGAGAGAGAGAGAGAGAAAGAGCGCGAACGCGUCGGGGCACAAGGUAUAUAAGGCCGAUGGUAGAGCAGUGCAACAGAGAGUGAGGAAAUGUUUUAAUGUUCGAGCGAGCGAGAGUGGAGAUUAAGCCUGGGACCUUACCUUUGCUUCAAUAUACUUUUGAGGGGGGAGGCUAGGAUAUGCAGACAGACCCAACUCCAGAGAGUGUGAGAGAGAGAGUGGGAGGCGGAGUAGACGAAAGAAAAAGCAAAUCAAAACAACAGAAAGAAAACAAUCAGAAAUGCAGGCAAAACAAAAAAAAGCUCUGCCUAACGGACUGACUAAGUGACUCGUUCUCUCUCCCCCUCUCACUCUCUCAGUCUAUGUGGCCUGUUAAAUAACAGCUGAAAAUUAACAGUGAGUGUUUUUGGAACAAGCAAUUAAAGCUGUAAUCAAGCAAUUAGAAGUACAAUUACCAAAAAGUUGUAGCAAAUUGUGUGUGCGAAAAGAAAAGAUGUGGAACGAAGCAUUUUUAGGGAGAACUGCAGAGACGGAUGGAUGUACAUACAUGCAAGGGCAAUACGAACCACGCUCGACGUCUCUUCAUAAAUCUACUGCCACAUUACCCAUACGCAGCGUGUUGCAGCUGAAAACCGAACAUUCCUGCGGCCACGGAUCUGUUGUCAAGCGGCACUAAAAGUGUCGCAUAUGUUUUGUAAAUUAAUUAAUAUAUCUUACACCCCAUAAAGUGCAACACAACAAAAAGUGCCAGAUAAAUCAUUAACAGUGACGGAAAAAAUUUAAAUUUUUUCAUGCAAAUAAUUUACAAACAUUGACAGUAUAUUAUCAUCUCUAUUUUUUUCAUUUUUCAAGUGCUGCAAGAAAAAUAUUCAUAUCAUUAUGGCUAAAUGACAGUGGGCCAGUGAUGCCGACAACACCGAUUAGCCAAAAGUUUUGGCCAAAACAUGACAGCCUCCAAAAUGCGGAAGAAGAGUAGUACGGGGUAGAAAUUGGAGAAAGGGACGGCAAAUGCAAGCUAUAAUUAACUUAAAAUAUAGCAAAUAUUGACCACUAAGCUUUCCAAGCUAUUAAAUGUUAAAACAUUUCCUGUUUUUCAUUUCCUGGCUUCACGUUACCAAAUUCCGUGCUAAUAAAAGUUCAAAAAUCUAUCAAUUGCCGGGAUUGGCUUUAUUUGGGUAGUUUUAAAUGUUUGAGAGACUUUUAGGCACAACUGUUAUCAAGAAUCAUCUUUCUUAUGGGAGUUAUUGGCAAAGGAAAACAUGAGUAGAUAAAUAAAAUAAAAAAUAGUGAGCUGUUGCUUAUUUUAAAAGGGGUUUCAGAUCAAAGUUUGUGAAAUUAUAUGUCCAUUGGGUAAA